AGCGAUGUGGCCCUAGUAUGGUCUGUUAUAUUGACUUCUCAAGCUGAGUUGAUAUACACUUGGAAUUCCUUCUCCUUCCCAGAUAAUGUCCACAGGUCAGUGGCUGUCAGAAGACUGCUCUGCACAUACUCGGACAGCUUCUGUGUGGCCUGUCUUGUUUCUGGGCUGUCAUGGCUGUACUUCUGGGUAUUGGAAGCAAACAGAGGUAGGGACAGCUGUGGAGUGACUUGUUUUAGAGAAGACCUAAGCAUACUAAGGUUUCAGUGUCACUCAGAGUCCUCGGUGCUGUGUGUCUUGAAGCAUAGCAGAAGAAAGCUCUAGACAUUGGGCACAGCAGUUUGAGCAGUUUCCUGUAGGGCUGAGGAUUGAGAUGUUUGGAAGGUACUUCAGAGCGUGCUAACUAAGUGUUAGUUACCGUCCAUCUGGUCACGUGUGGCCACACAGAUGCUUGGGCAGCAUUAUCGAGUUGGCUGUGGUGACAAAAAGCGCUGUUUUCAGCUGUCAGUGCUCCUUACUUCUAGGGAAGUUCCACACCAACUUAACAUUAUCGAAUCAUCAUUUUCAUGAGUUACCAUGCAGGUGAUUGAUGUUUUAGAAUGUACUUUCUUCUAGUGUUUUGUAAAAGAAUUAACUGUUUUGUACUGGAUCCUGUAGACUUUUCAAGGGUGUCUCUUUUCUCACUCCAGUGGAUUUUAAACUAUUUUGAUAGUUAACAGAAUUACAUUGCUGGAGUUAAAGUUGGCCUAAAAAGCACCACUUAAAGCUGUAGAUAAGAAGUCCCAAGUAGUGUGCUCAGUAACAGAUGCAGCGGGAUGUCCUAAUGACUAAUCCUUUUCCUUUGUGAGUCACUGCCCCUGUGUUCUAGACUGAUCUGCAGGAUGCAGGACAUCAUCCAAGACACUUAACCAAGAGGCUGUGACCUUGUGAAUUGUUUUGGACAAUUAAAAACCAAAUGUGUUCAGUUGAACAUCGAGUUUGAUUAUCUAGCCAUAAGAGUGGGCAUUUCUGCAGACUGCAUUUCAGUCAUUACUACCCCUAGCAAAUCUAACAGUAGGAUUCCUGGCUGCUGGCAUCCAUACACCAGGUGUCCUCUAACUCAGGGCUGCUACAGACUAGCCUGAGCUCUUCUCGGGGCUUGUGUGUUGUGUGCUACUAGGGAGGAAUGUUAACUGACAGUGGUCCUCAGCUCCAGUGUUUGUCUGAGUUGGCUCAGAGGAGACUCUGGUGCAUGGAACUCCCAUGAACUGUCGAUUUGCUGUCCUCAGCUCUGCAGAACCCGUAGCUUAUUCCUUCCCUGUUUGUUGAUGGCAGCAAACUGUGAUUAUAUGUCAUGUCCAGCAUCAGGCACAUGACACUUGAAAGCCAGCAUAGAUAGGGUUCUGCAGUUUUUCAAGGAUGCAGAUCUAGCCAGAUGGUUACCCUUCCAGGAUAAAGAGCCAUAUGCUCCAAAUACUUUUCUCACAACAAAGCCACCAAAAAAGCAGGGGAGCCUCUCCCUGAGUCUAUCAAAUCUGCCUGGACCAUCUUGCUACUGCCUUUGGAUCAGUUGCUGAGAACUCCUUUCCAGAGAGGAGAGCAGACGCUUCCCAUGUUCUUCCCUGUAAUUCAAAGAGCUCCUCUAUCCAAGCAACAUUUCCAUUUCUCAUGACACCUCCCGCACCCCCAUGCCCAGAGGUUAGAAAGCUGGAGAAGAAGCCAGGACAGAUUCUCCCCUGCCACUACCAGUGCUGAGUCAGCAAACCACCCUACCCCACUGCGUGCCCCACUGCGUGCCGUGGGUGGGAAACAGUCCUGUGUCCAUGGAGCAGGAGUGGAGUUCCUAACCGUUAGAGUUGUUUGUGUGUUUCUGUCUUGGUGACAUUUGUCUUACAGUCUCUUCAGCUUUUCCUUUAAUAUGGUCAGUUCAUACAAGGUUGUGUAUGUUGUCAUUUAUCUUCAGUUUUCUUAUUUUCUAGGAACUUCCUGUAGGAAAGCCCCCCCCCCCAAAAAAAAAAAAAAAAACCCUUAACUGACUAAAAGAUAUUGCAUGCUCAACUUAGAGUAAGCACUACGGCAAAGGAUACGAAAUCUGCCCAGCUUGCAAGACCAGUUGAAGCUGACUCAAAAGCUGUACCAUACAGCUGCUUACCGGCAGGCGUCUUGCCCUGGUUAGUGUCAGGCAUCCGUCUCUUGGGUGGAGCUCACGUGUGUGCUGUGCUCUCAGGGGAUUGAGAUCCAAAGAGAAGGGUGCCAUAAGAUAGGCCAGAUGGACUGGCUCUCCUCAUCACCCGACUGGCAGCUCAGCUUUGAGUGUGGCCCUUGAGACUGGCAGAGAGCAGCUAAGAGCAAUUGAACUGAACCUUGCAAAGCUAGUGCCCUUGUUUUAUCAGUGGUCCUAGUUUCAGGGAUGAUAGAUCGGGUGCACCCACCUCGAAACGCUUGCUUAUACCAGCCCUUGAUGCCUUUCUUUCAUGUGAAUUAUACAUUCAUGUGAACGUCAUGAGAGGCGUUUAGUUGAUCCCUAGCCCUCACCCCUUUAAAAAAAUCAUAAGCAGAUUGCCAGCAUAAUGCAGAGGAAACCAGAUUGGCUAGGACUCCUUCUCAUGCCUCUAUUAGUGUUAUAAGCAUAACUUGUGUCUAUAAGAGGACAUUAGCCUCUCACUGUCUGGCACUAAUUUAUAGCUAUUAUGAGAUGCUAUGUAGCAGUAUAUCAGUGCACGGAGAGCAUCCAGGCCUGGAUAGCUGUUUGUGUCUGCACACCAGGCCUUAUUCUUGUCUCAGUAGAUUCAAAGCAACAGAUCAGCCUCUUCUUUCCAACCGGGUCAGCACCACUUCUCCAUGAGUGCUGAUGCUUCCCCUAGAUUAAUGACUGAGGUGGUGGAAAAUGGCUAUAUUUUAUUCAUACUGUGUUUUGUACUCAACCUUAAAAGUAAUCUACCUCUUAAAAUUUGUAGUUUAAUACUUGUUUGAUGAAUUUGUGCCACUUUAACCUUUCACUAUCAUUCCCAUUGUGUUAAAUUUCUGUUAAGGAGACUUCAUGUUGGAAUACUGUAUAAAGCAUUUGUAGCAGUUUAAAAAUAAAGUAUUUAAAGUUAUUUAAACUGUUUGGGUGCUUCAAUUGUAUUAUGUGGUCUGUAGCCUACAUUUGUGUUCGCAUUGUUAAUCCAGACGGUGUCUGCUAUACCAGAGUUUGCUGCAGUUAUUUUAUUGCUUCUCGUCACAAAGUGCUAUAAAGAUUAUUCGAAUGAAAGCAUUAAAAUUUAUAAUUUGACAUACAAAAGGGAUUGUUCACUAAUUUUAACCAGUGUAGCCUUGACAGUUUAUUACAGACACACAAGGGUGAUGUUUGCUACUUUGCCCUGAGCAUGGAUACAUCCUCUGUCAGGUAUCUAAGAAGAUCUUUUUCCAUGUUAUUUAAAAUACUUGAUAACUAGGGGAGAAUUGGAUGAUGCAUUCUCUAUCAUUGUAACUAAUAAACUCUUUAUAAACACUUGUG
rnacentral:lncRNA from 1 species